GAAGAAAGGAGUGAGUUUCCAUUCCUAGCAAAUGAAGAAAAGACUCAUGAAGCUAUAGAAAGUUGACUAGAAAGGACCCAGAAACAAUCCAAUCCAGUUUAAAUGUGCUACCAUUAGGAACUGGAUCUGAAAUGCUCCCGACAGGCUCAUGUGUUUGACCAUCUCAACAUCAAUGGAUGGCGGAAGGAAUAUGUCUGGCUGGUGGUGGGUUCAGGGACCUGAGCCAUGCAGAGCACAGCUUGCAGUUCCAUUCUCACACUGCCUCUACAUCCACCAAGAUGUGAGCAGCUGCCACCUGCUGUCACAGACUUGGCCCUCUUCAGCCGCCAUGCCUUCCUGCCAUGAUGGACUGCAUCCACGUAAACCUCUCUUCCUUGAAAUUACUUCUGAAAGGUAUUUGCUCCCAACAAUGUGAAAGUAGUUAGCAGUAUUACCGUCUGAUGAGGUCAUGU